rnacentral:rRNA from 1 species
GACGAACGCUGGCGGCGUGCCUAACACAUGCAAGUCGAACGGUGACGAAGAGCUUGCUCUUCUGAUCAGUGGCGAACGGGUGAGUAACACGUGAGCAACCUACCCUUGACACUGGGAUAACAGUUGGAAACAGCUGCUAAUACCGGAUAUGAACUCAGCAGGCAUCUGCCGAGUUGGAAAGCUCCGACGGUCAAGGAUGGGCUCGCGGCCUAUCAGCUUGUUGGUGAGGUAGCGGCUCACCAAGGCGACGACGGGUAGCCGGCCUGAGAGGGCGACCGGCCACACUGGGACUGAGAUACGGCCCAGACUCCUACGGGAGGCAGCAGUGGGGAAUAUUGCGCAAUGGGCGAAAGCCUGACGCAGCAACGCCGCGUGCGGGAUGACGG